GAGGGUGCUAAGGUAGCGAGAUUCCUUGCCUUUUGAUUGUGGGCCUGCAUGAAUGGUUUAACGAGGGUUUGACUGUCUCUAAAUUUUUUAUUGAAAUUGUACUGAAGGUGAAGAUACCUUCAUUUAAAAGUUAGACAAAAAGACCCCGUGCAACUUUGAAAAUUAACUUUAUUCAGGAGUAAAAGAUUUUUAGGUGGGGCGCCUAGAAAGCAAGUCUAACCUUUCUGAAUAACUAACUCUUUCCGGAUUUGACCCGAUUAUAUUCGAUCAUAGGAGAAGUUACGCCGGGGAUAACAGGCUAAUCCUUUAGUAGAGUUCGUAUUGGCUAAAGGGAUUGGCACCUCGAUGUUGAAUCAGGGAUAAUAGCUUCAAGGCGUAGAGGCUUUGAAAGUAGGUCUGUUCGACCUUUAAUACC
rnacentral:rRNA from 1 species